CGGGUGAGUAACACGUGGGUAACCUACCCAUCAGAGGGGGAUAACACUUGGAAACAGGUGCUAAUACCGCAUAACAGUUUAUGCCGCAUGGCAUAAGAGUGAAAGGCGCUUUCGGGUGUCGCUGAUGGAUGGACCCGCGGUGCAUUAGCUAGUUGGUGAGGUAACGGCUCACCAAGGCCACGAUGCAUAGCCGACCUGAGAGGGUGAUCGGCCACACUGGGACUGAGACACGGCCCAGACUCCUACGGGAGGCAGCAGUAGGGAAUCUUCGGCAAUGGACGAAAGUCUGACCGAGCAACGCCGCGUGAGUGAAGAAGGUUUUCGGAUCGUAAAACUCUGUUGUUAGAGAAGAACAAGGACGUUAGUAACUGAACGUCCCCUGACGGUAUCUAACCAGAAAGCCACGGCUAACUACGUG
rnacentral:rRNA from 1 species